UACGUAGGGUGCAAGCGUUGUCCGGAAUUAUUGGGCGUAAAGAGCUUGUAGGCGGUUUGUCGCGUCUGCUGUGAAAUUUCGGGGCUCAACCCCGAACUUGCAGUGGGUACGGGCAGACUAGAGUGUGGUAGGGGAGACUGGAAUUCCUGGUGUAGCGGUGAAAUGCGCAGAUAUCAGGAGGAACACCGGUGGCGAAGGCGGGUCUCUGGACAGUAACUGACGCUGAGGAGCGAAAGCGUGGGGAGCGAACAGG
rnacentral:rRNA from 1 species